rnacentral:tRNA from 1 species
AUUAAGAUGACAGAGAAUGUGUCAGAUUUAAGCUUUGACUAUAAAGGUGAAAAUCCUUUUCUUAAUA